rfam:Podospora anserina genomic DNA, chromosome 4.
UCCCAUAUGGUGUAGUGGUCAGCAUAUCAGGCUUUCAGUCAUCCUUGAGAUUAUCUCAGGAUCUGAUACUCCCUGAAGUCCCGGGUUCAAUUCCCGGUGUGGGAA